rnacentral:rRNA from 1 species
AAUAAUUUUACUGUGAAACUGCGAAUGGCUCAUUAUAUAAGUUAUCGUUUAUUUGAUAGUACCUUACUACAUGGAUAACCGUGGUAAUUCUAGAGCUAAUACAUGCUAAAAACCUCGACUUCGGAAGAGGUGUGUUUAUUAGAUUAAAAACCAAUGCCCUUCGGGGCUCACUGGCGAUUCAUAAUAACCUCUCGAAUCGCAUGGCCUUGCGCCGGCGAUGGUUCAUUCAAAUUUCUUCCCUAUCAACUUUCGAUGCUAGAGUAGUGUUCUAGCAUGGUUACAACGGGUAACGGAGGGUUAGGGCUCGACCCCGGAGAAGGAGCCUGAGAAACGGCUACUACAUCCAAGGAAGGCAGCAGGCGCGCAAAUUACCCAAUCCCGACACGGGGAGGUAGUGACGAUAAAUACUGAUACAGGGCUCUUUUGGGUCUUGUAAUUGGAAUGAGUACAAUUUAAAUCCCUUAACGAGGAACAAUUGGAGGGCAAGUCUGGUGCCAGCAGCCGCGGUAAUUCCAGCUCCAAUAGCGUAUAUUAAAGUUGUUGUGGUUAAAAAGCUCGUAGUAGAACCUUGGGCCUGGCUGGCCGGUCCGCCUCACCGCGUGCACUGGUCCGGCCGGGCCUUUCCCUCUGUGGAACCGCAUGCCCUUCACUGGGUGUGCCGGGGAAACAGGACUUUUACUUUGAAAAAAUUAGAGUGCUCCAGGCAGGCCUUUGCUCGAAUACAUUAGCAUGGAAUAAUAGAAUAGGACGUGUGGUUCUAUUUUGUUGGUUUCUAGGACCGCCGUAAUGAUUAAUAGGGACAGUCGGGGGCAUCAGUAUUCAAUUGUCAGAGGUGAAAUUCUUGGAUUUAUUGAAGACUAACUACUGCGAAAGCAUUUGCCAAGGAUGUUUUCAUUUAUCAGGAACGAAAGUUAGGGGAUCGAAGACGAUCAGAUACCGUCGUAGUCUUAACCAUAAACUAUGCCGACUAGGGAUCGGACGAUGUUAUUUUUUGACUCGUUCGGCACCUUACGAGAAAUCAAAGUGCUGGCUCCAU